rnacentral:rRNA from 1 species
CCCUUAGAUGUUCUGGGCUGCACGCGCGCUACACUGAUGCGAUCAACAAGUUUUUCCUAUGUCGAUAGACACGGGUAAUCUUUUGAACUCGCAUCGUGAUGGGGAUAGAUUAUUUUAAUUAUUAAUCUUCAACGAGGAAUUCCUAGUAGGUGCAAAUCAUCAGUUUGCAUCGAUUACGUCCCUGCCCUUUGUACACACCGCCCGUCGCUGCUACCGAUUGGUUGAUCUGGUGAAUUAUUCGGACUGCCGGCUGAAGGGGUUUCCUCAUCUGCCAGCGGAAAGUCUUGUUAACCCUAUCAACUAGAGGAAGCAGAAGUCGUAACA